CGCCACUCUCACUCACUACCUACUAAACCUAAAAACCUCACUCCUCUCAGCCGCUUCUUUCAUUUAAUCUAACCCUAAAUCCCGCGGUGCUCUCUCUCUCCCCCCCCCCACCCCCUCACUCACUCCAUUAACGCGCGGCUCUUGAUCUUCUCUCUCUUCUCUCUCUCCCUCCCUCCCUCACUCCAUUUCAGGUUCAUUUCGUUCAUUCGCACUCCAUUUCAGUUGUUCGUUCGUGAAUUACAAUUACGGAUUUCGUUCUUCGCACUUCAAGAUGAAGGUAACUUGUUUAUUUUUCGUUUUUCUUCUUUUUUGCAUGUUUUAAUUUUUAGUUAUUUGACAUUUUUUUCAGAUCUGUUUGAAGACCGUAUUUUUUUCGACAUUUCUUCGCUUUUCCAGUUCGAAUUUCCAGAAAUUUCACAAAGAACAACUGAGGAAGAGCCAUAAAUUCCAGAAAUUUUGUUGUUGUAUUAUGAGCACCAAGAAGCCAGAAUGAGCGAUUCAAUUUUUAGAGUAUAUUUUAGGGUUUUUAGAGUAUUUUUUUAUUGGAUUAACAGAUUGUUGCUUCAAUUUUUCAUUGUAUUUCAUAUUCUUUCAGAUCUGUACUUUUUUUUUAAUUUCUUUGUUGUUUUUAGUUCUUGAUUUUGUACAUAUUUUUUCUAAUUUCGCGAUGUGUUCGCUUCUUGA